rnacentral:rRNA from 1 species
AGAGUUUGAUCCUGGCUCAGGAUGAACGCUAGCGGCAGGCCUAAUACAUGCAAGACGAACGGCAAGAUUUUUAGCAAUAAAGAUCCUAGAGUGUCGUAAGGGUGCGUAACACGUAUGCAAUCUGCCCUCAACAGGAGGAUAGCUCCCCGAAAGGGGAAUUAACACUCCAUAAGAUCAUGGUCUGGCAUCAGACAGUGAUUAAAACUACGGUGGUUGAGGAUGAGCAUGCGCAUGAUUAGCUAGUUGGUGAGGUAACGGCUCACCAAGGCAGCGAUCAUUAGGGGUUCUGAGAGGAAGGUCCCCCACACUGGUACUGAGACACGGGCCCGACUCCUACGGGAGGCAGCAGUAAGGAAUAUUGGUCAAUGGACGCAAGUCUGAACCAGCCAUGCCGCGUGGAGGAUGAAGGUCCUCUGGAUUGUAAACUUCUUUUAUCUGGGAAGAAAAAGGACUUUUCUAAGUCAACUGACGGUACCAGAUGAAUAAGCACCGGCUAACUCCGUGCCAGCAGCCGCGGUAAUACGGAGGGUGCAAGCGUUAUCCGGAUUCACUGGGUUUAAAGGGUGCGUAGGUGGGCAGGUAAGUCAGUGGUGAAAUCUCCGGGCUUAACCCGGAAACUGCCAUUGAUACUAUCUGUCUUGAAUACCCUGGAGGUGAGCGGAAUAUGUCAUGUAGCGGUGAAAUGCUUAGAUAUGACAUAGAACACCCAUUGCGAAGGCAGCUCACUACAGGAAUAUUGACACUGAGGCACGAAAGCGUGGGGAUCAAACAGGAUUAGAUACCCUGGUAGUCCACGCCCUAAACGAUGGAUACUCGACAUCAGCGAUACACUGUUGGUGUCUGAGCUAAAGCAUUAAGUAUCCCACCUGGGAAGUACGAUCGCAAGAUUGAAACUCAAAGGAAUUGACGG